rnacentral:rRNA from 1 species
CACGUAGGGCGCAAGCGUUGUCCGGAAUUAUUGGGCGUAAAGAGCUCGUAGGCGGUCUGUUGCGUCUGCUGUGAAAACUCGGGGCUUAACCCCGAGCCUGCAGUGGAUACGGGCAGACUAGAGGUAGGUAGGGGAGAAUGGAAUUCCUGGUGUAGCGGUGAAAUGCGCAGAUAUCAGGAGGAACACCGGUGGCGAAGGCGGGUCUCUGGGCCGUAACUGACGCUGAGGAGCGAAAGCAUGGGGAGCGAACAGG